rnacentral:rRNA from 1 species
ACUCCUACGGGGAGGCAGCAGUGGGGAAAUAUUGCACAAAUGGGGCGAAAAGCCUGAUGCAGCAACGCCGCGUGAGCGAUGAAGGCCUUCGGGUCGUAAAGCUCUGUCCCAUGGGAAGAUAAUGACGGUACCAUAGGAGGAAGCCCCGGCUAACUACGUGCCAGCAGCCGCGGUAAUACGUAGGGGGCAAGCGUUAUCCGGAAUUA